rnacentral:rRNA from 1 species
CCUACGGGUGGCUGCAGUGAGGAAUCUUUGUCAAUGGGCGCGAGCCUGAACCAGCCAAGUAGCGUGAAGGAUGACUGCCCUAAGGGUUGUAAACUUCUUUUAUAAAGGAAUAAAGUGAGGCACGUGUGCCUUUUUGCAUGUACUUUAUGAAUAAGGAUCGGCUAACUCCGUGCCAGCAGCCGCGGUAAUACGGAGGAUCCGAGCGUUAUCCGGAUUUAUUGGGUUUAAAGGGAGAGUAGAUGGGUUGUUAAGUCAGUUGUGAAAGUUUGCGGCUCAACCGUAAGAUUGCAAGUGAUACUGGCAGUCUUGAGUACAGUUGAGGUAGGCGGAAUUCGUGGUGUAGCGGUGACAUGCUUAGAUAGCACGAAGAACUCCGAUUGCGAAGGCAGAUUACUAAACUGCCACUGACAUUGAUGCUCGAAAGUGUGGGUAUCAAACAGGAUUAGAUACCCUGGUAGUC